rnacentral:rRNA from 1 species
UACGAGAGGUCCAAACGUUAUUCGGAAUUACUGGGCUUACAGAGUUCGUAGGCGGCUCUACAAGUGAGGUGUGAAAGCCCUCGGCUCAACCGAGGAACUGCGCUUCAAACUGUAGAACUAGAGGGAGAUAGAGGUGAGCAGAACUGAUGGUGGAGCGGUGAAAUGCGUAGAUAUCUGGAGGAACACCGGUGGCGAAGGCGGCAUUCUGGACCGAUAUUGACGCUGAGGAGCGAAAGCCAGGGGAGCAAACGGG